AGUGGCUCCAGUGAAUGCCACACAGGUGCAACAACAGCCAAAGUGGCUGUUUUAAUUUAAAAAUUCCAAUCAAUAUUAACAGAAAAUGUAUACUUUAUUCAUUAAGCUCUACCUAUUAUCCAGUUCUGCACAGAGGGCAGAGCCUUGAAAGUAGGUUUUUGCAGGCUCAGCCCAGCCCAGGCAGAGCUAUCUUGCUCUAAAAAUCAGGAAAGAGGACUUAGACAGAGGAAGCCAGGUCUGCAUUAUCCAUAUCUGGAGCAUGAUCUGAAAUAGCAGAUACUCCAGGAAUGCCUCAGGAAGGUAACCUUGAUGUGGAUGAUAUCGAUGCUGUUUUGAAAGGGAGAGCUGACUGGAGAAAGGAAGAGGAUAAAUGGCAUAAAACUGGCCAACGUCAGAGGAUGUCCUACAUCAAGUUACAUUCCUAGGUUAUUUGUACUGCCUGAAAAGAGUAAAAAUCUCAUUAAAAGAGAAAAGGAGCAAGCUAUUAUUUUUCUGGAAUAUCCCAACAUAGGCUUAGUGCCAAGCAUGCUGGUGUUGAAGAGGAGAAGCUGUUCUACAGCUGUUCUCACCAUGAGGAAAAACAAGUAAGAGCCUUUCAGAAAUGCCAUCAUGAAGUGGUAUGGGCAACGGCUGGUAGCAGCAGGAGAGGGAGAAACAAAAAAGAAGGCCUAGAAGAACUAAUUUGAAAUGAACUCUUUCAUCAUUCGCCAGAGCUUAACUGAAAGUUACAGGUUGUACACUUAUCGAAGCAAUAAAUCACAAAGGAAUAAAGAGAUACUGAUUCACAUAAGAAGAAACCAGCUACACAAGCCUCCUCAACCGCUUAAUAAGAAAAGACAUUGCAUCUUAACAUCUGAUGAGGGGAACGGAGGUGUUUGCCUUGAUCAAUCUCUUCACAACGUCAAAGAGAAGUGGAAAUAGAAUAAACAAACAAGGUCUCUCACAAAACUUCAGUCUCACACCUAACACCCAGCACCAGACAAAGACUGUCUUUCUAAGGAUGGGGAAGGGGGUUUCUUGUCAUGUUCCUGCUUGUAUCAUACAGACAUCAAAAGAAACUCAUUCUUAUGAUUUGCUACAGAAAAUUUACUUCAUAGACUCCUGGCGAACAUCUCCACAGUUGAAAAAAAUAGAAAUCUUUCAAGUCAUCAGCUUUCACACAUCUUAUUAUAGCAGCCCCCUUGCUGAAAUUCAUACAUGCUGAUGACAACACCGGUACACACACAUGUCAUCUGAGCUGUUUAUAGCCACUCUUUUAUUUAAUGCAUCUCAUCUGCCAGGUUUUUUUGCAGGUUUUGUCUGCUUUAUCAUGUUAUCGUUUAAGUCUUUAUCUAUAAAUCAAACUGAUAUAUAAACCACUUUGUCAUCUUUUGUUUCACAACAGAUGUACAGUAAGCAGAGACUGCCUCUGAAUAGGAAAAAAUGGGAAUGAAAACACUGGCUGAAGCAUACACAGAAGUUUUUAAAAAAGUGUCUUGUUACUAAUAAUCAACGACACAGAAGGAUGGAUGUUUAUGCACAGAAUAUAAGAGGAGAAAAAAUAAAUAAAUAAGAUGAGGAUACUCUUCAUAUGCAAAUGUGAUUUCUUCCUCUCUGUAAUCAGGCCAAGGAAAACAGUCUGAGGGAGGGAUAGCCAUAUAGAAGAACUAAGGCUGAGUCACUUGCAGGAGGUUCCUAGGACACGUAUGUUGAAAUGCAAAAUUCAGUUGCACAAAAAAAGAACUUGGCAUUUCCACUAUGCUAGUGAGUUUUCAUGGACAAACUGUGAUCUUUGCCAGCACACACCAACUACUCCAAAAUCCUCUCAUGACUCCUGUGAUAUUAUCAUUGAUGAGAGGACCAUAGGUUAUAGCUAUACUAUUGUUGUACUAUAAUCAGUGGAAGAAAAUAUACUACUAACAACUGCCCAGAUCAAAAUGCUUCAGAGAAUCUGAGUUAGUGCUGAUAGAAAGGUUUCUCUGCAGUGCACAAGAUGCCAUUUAGUAACACACUGUUAACACUAUUAAGAGUAUUACUGGCACUCUUCUGGAUACUUCUUUCACCCUGGAGAUUCAAACUGAUCCAAAACACAAAACUCUGACUUCUUCCAGUGAAUAAGCGGGAAUUUAGGUUCACUGUUACAGGUGAAGACCUGUUGUUCAAUCUGUUUGACUUUGGGACUAAUAAAAACCAAAGAAAAGUAAAAAAUCUCAGUAGAUGGCUUAGGUGAGCCAACAUAUGCCAUACAUCCUUAUCUCUAAAUCAGUUUAAGCAUUGAACAUGCUAUUUAACCACAUAUCCAGCAUUUCUUUUAGCCUGGAGUAUAGUUCUCAUUGUUCUUAUUAUCCACAUGAACCUCUGACCUCCUGAACUUCCCAAUCUCUUGGUCACAAGCACUUUUGUUUAUGAAACAAGCGAAAAAACAUCUUGAAAAGAAACUUCCUCAUGAGAUGUCAAUUAUUUGAGAUUUCGGAAAGGAUUUACUUACAGAGCUCCACAAGAAAAUGAAACACUUCAAAAUUUUCCUUAAAGCAAAACAAACAGAAGUAGAAGCAUUUGUUUUAGCAGUAUACAAAAUCAGCACCACAGGAGGCAGAAGCAUAUUUGACACAGUGCAACAAGGAAUGAAGAUCUUCUUUUGAAAUAUGCAAUGCAAAAUGUUUUUCAUCCCCAACAAUAGAAAAAAGAAAAC
ensembl:lncRNA